rnacentral:lncRNA from 1 species
UUGAACGUUUGCACUGAUUUAUUAUUAUUAUUUUCCAGAAUGAGUAUGGUCAGUGUGAGCAAUUGAAAACUUUAAUAAUAUUGUUGAUCUCUAGCUGACUAGACUUAUCUCUGUUGAAGUGUUGCAUUUGUUUAAGUUACGACAAUGGGCAAGAACACCAACAAAAAGACUAUGAAGAAAAACAACCCCAUUUAUAAGAAAGUAACUUCAAAAACUCCAAUAAAAUUCAAGAACAAAACAAAGCCAAUCAAAAAAUCAGUACAGCAACAGAUAAAAACCCGCAAAACCCGUGAAGAUUUGGACGCCAAAUGGAAGCAGCACAGAGAAACAAAGGCCAGUAGCUCAAAAAGUUCACCGCCUACACAGAUGAAAGAGAAAUCUUGAAAGUCUCCAAUGAGUAAAAUUCCUUUGCUCAU